CGAAAUCGAGAUUUAUAUAAAUAUACAGUAUCAAGCAGAAUCGAAGCCAGUAUUUUAUUACAAUUACAGAAUCACAGAGACAUAGAAAAUACAUCAUUAAUCCUAUACUACUAUUUUUUUUCUUCUUUCUUUUUCUUUCCCCACCCUUGCUCCCCACUUCAUUUUGCCACCAACUCCACUUCAUUUUGCCACCAUUACAACGCCAAUAAUUCCUUCAUCCUCCACUUAGCUCUCCACUCCACCAAACUUCCCACUUACUCCCUCCAUGUCUUUUAACAUUUCAGUCAGUAAACUUCCUUCAUUCAUUUCCUUUGACACCAGAAACCGAAAAAUUUAAGGAAAGAGUUAGAGUUGUAAAACUGCUGCCAACUUCAAAGGAGGUAAGUCUUGGCUAAAUUUUUCCCAUUUCUCCUUUAUUCACCUGCAUUUAUUAAAACAACAGCAACUUCAAAUUCAUUUCAGUUAUUUCACACUUC
rnacentral:lncRNA from 1 species